rnacentral:lncRNA from 1 species
ACUUAGUACUCCAUUCAUGUCGUAGAUACCUAUGAUAGGAAAUAAGUAUAACAUAUAUGCCAAAUGUUGCUAUCAAGGAGGUCGGAUUUCGUCCAAAAGCCAACAAACCUUGAUAAAUAAUCGAUAUCCAUAAUUUUAUUUAGCGAAGCUAAGAGGAAUCCUUCGGAGAAAAUGUUUCUUAAAAUGGGAAAAUUCCCUAAUUUUCUCCAAAUCAAAUAU